rnacentral:lncRNA from 13 species
CUCUAUUCAGCGGAGCUAUUGAAAGUCGUUUCGCGUUCUGGGUAAAAAAAAAACUUGGAAACGGAGAUUAGGGGAAGGUCGAAUCGUUACAUUACCGCUGUGUUCCACGUUACACAAACGCAAAUGGAAACGUCUAAUAAAAGACUCGCCUGCACACCACUACAAGCUUCACGAGGAACGAGCAUAACGAAGUGGUCGCGGAGGCGAGAAAUCCAAUGAGGAACAUUAAUUAUUGACACGUCCAGCAACAUCCAGAAUAUUUGAACCGCUACCUGGGCAAAUGUUUGGCAAAUACAAUUGGAGGAUUAACAAUGAUACGGUACCGAAUUUAAUCUACAUCUAGAGACCGUGGGCGACGCUGACGUCAUGCUGACCAAUAACUUCCUCGGCUCGGUGUCCUCGAGAAAUAGAUAUGGACACUUUUGCGGUUGCAAUUCAACAGCGCGAUUUACCGUUUCCAAACAACGCGAGAAAACACGAACGGCCGCAGCACGAGGAGCAUUACUCAUAAAUAUAAUAUUUAAAAAUAACGCGAUUGAGUAAAUUGGAAAGGUUAAUGGAUAUUUCCAAAUUCAAGGAAAGGCACUUUUUAGAGACGAAAUUUAUUUAGCCACGAAGUAGAAGGAAAGUAAUAAAUUUUCGAAAUUCGCAAUUUGUAAAUUUAGGAAGACGAGAAGAAUUACGAAGAUUUGGUGAUAGUUGGCCACUUUAGAUUGAAAUUUGUAUAUUUCUCGAAACAUCAACCGAGUCAUAGCUCCGUCUUUAUUCGAUAACGCAGCGCGGUGUGCGUUCACGGUUGUUUUACGAGCCAUCAAUCUUCGACUAUCGUCAUCGCAAAAGCUAAUAUUGACUUACGAUCAAAAUCAGAACUUCGUAACAAAUACAUCGAUCGCGACGGCUCAUUCGCAUUCGCAAAGUGACGCUAAAAGCGUCCGAUCUCGUGCGAAAGCAGACACAUUUGUUUCUCGAGUUACUGUAAAUAUCGCUACUAGCUGAUAUAUGGUAGCGGUCACUCAACACCAACGUCCCUGUCCAAAUGUUAAUGGCAUGAUUCUAAAAAUGAGAAAACUUUAUAACCAA